rnacentral:tRNA from 1 species
AUCUUCCUAGUACAAAUUCAGUACAAGUGACUUCCAAUUACUUAAUCCUGGUUAAAAUCCAGGGAAAGAUA